UGUGUAUGAAGCAUCUCUUAUGCUUUUCAUCAAAGUGUCCCAGUCACUCUCACAAAACUGGUGACCUCCAACUUCAAUCAGAUGUACUAACGCUCCCAAAGAGAUUGAAACCACAGUCUGAUCAGUCUUUUUUGCACAGUCCAGAAGCAAACUCAGAAGAGGAGGCAACAUGAAACACACCUCCUUGUAGAAUGUGUUAAAAAGGUUGCACAGCAACUGAAGCGAAUGAAUGCUGGUUUCUCGAAACCACUCAUUAUCUGAAGAGAUUAAGCUUUCCUUGCCAGCAAGUCUCACGUGAUCAAAAAUGGGAAACAACACACGAUG
rnacentral:misc_RNA from 1 species